rnacentral:rRNA from 1 species
UACGUAGGGGGCAAGCGUUGUCCGGAAUCAUUGGGCGUAAAGCGCGUGUAGGCGGCUUGGUAAGUCUGCUCUGAAAGCCCGGGGCUCAACCCCGGGAGGCGGGUGGAUACUGUCAAGCUCGAGUCCGGAAGAGGAGUGUGGAAUUCCUGGUGUAGCGGUGAAAUGCGCAGAUAUCAGGAGGAACACCAAUGGCGAAGGCAGCA